CUUUUUCAAAAGAUGUGGUCAAAGAAAGAACAAUCACUGUCCCAAAAAAAAAUGAAAAAGGAAAGCUUCUUGCUCCUUACAAUUGGUUUAGGGAAGAACAUGAGAACCCAACUCAUAAUUUUAUAGAGCACCUUAUCAUGCACCUUUUCCUAAAAAAUAAAAAUUUAAAUUUUAUAUGCUUUGGAAUAUAUUUUUCAAGCUUGGAAAACCCAUUAUAAAUACAAAUGAAUUUACCAUAUGAAGUUCAGCCCUUUCUAAAACCAAACCUUCUUCUUCAGUCAAAACUCUCUACUCUCUACUCUGCCAUCUUUUUUUUUCUUCUUAAAAAAUAGUUUUCUGUUGUGUGAUCUUAGAUUUUGUAAUUUCUAUUGGGUAAGGAUAAGGUAAUCUGCAUCCUGAGGUUUAGAUCAGAAUAAUGAAUUUUAAAAAAUGGCUUUUCUUUUCUAGCCCUCGGGUCGCAGAUUACCUCUUCCUUGCUGACAAUGUUGGAUUUUGGCAAUCAGAUUAUCACUGCUCUUCCUCAAGGAUUUUGCUGAUUCAAAUGUUGAUGUAAUGGUUUAAUUUGUUACACCACAUGAUUGUUGUUUUCUUUGCUAAUUAGCUUGUUUUAUUAAGCAUCUUUGCUUAGAAGACUCGAAUACUUUCACUUACAGCCACAUCAACAUGUAUUACCUCUAUAUUAUUACUCGUUCCACUUUUAAUGCAAUAAACAAACACAAAAUAAAGCUAAGGUGAACAUAACUCAAGCGGUAACUCACACGUGCCCCUCUUGAGAUUGGAGAUUCAAAUUUCAUACCCUA